rnacentral:rRNA from 1 species
UACGAAGGGGGCUAGCGUUGCUCGGAAUCACUGGGCGUAAAGCGCACGUAGGCGGAUUCUUAAGUCAGGGGUGAAAUCCUGGAGCUCAACUCCAGAACUGCCUUUGAUACUGAGGGUCUUGAGUUCGGGAAAGGUGAGUGGAACUGCGAGUGUAGAGGUGAAAUUCGUAGAUAUUCGCAAGGACACCAGUGGCGAAGGCGGCUCACUGGCCCGAUACUGACGCUGAGGUGCGAAAGCGUGGGGAGCAAACAGG